rnacentral:rRNA from 1 species
AUACGGAGGACGCGAGCGUUAUCCGGAUUCAUUGGGUUUAAAGGGUGCGCAGGCGGCCGUGCAAGUCAGCGGUGAAAGCCCGGGGCUCAACCCCGGAAGUGCCGUUGAUACUGCAUGGCUGGAAUGCGGUCGAGGCGGGCGGAACGGGGCGUGGUGCGGUGGAAUGCGUAGAUAUGCCACAGAACGCCGAUAGCGGAGGCAGCUCGCCAGGCCUGCAUUGACGCUCGGGCACGAAAGCGUGGGGAUCGAACAGGAUUAGAUACCCUGGUAGUCCACGCCGUAAACGAUGGGCGCUCGUCGUCGGCGGCAGACAGUCGGCGGCCAAGCGAAAGCGAUAAGCGCCCCACCUGGGGAGUACGGUCGCAAGGCUGAAACUCAAAGGAAUUGGCGGGG